rnacentral:rRNA from 1 species
GAUGAAUGCUAGCGGAGUGCUUAACACAUGCAAGUCGAACGGCCAGUAAUGGCAGUGGCGAACGGGCGAGUAACACGUGCCUAACCUGCCCUGGAGUAGAGGACAACUGCGGAAACGCAGCUAAUUCUGUAUACGUCUGGAGGAAUGAGAAAGAUCUGGAGAAAGAUUUAUCGCUCUGGGAGGGGGGUGCGGACCACCAGUUAGUUGGUGAGGUAAGAGCUUACCAAGACUAAGACGGAUAGCCGGCCUGAGAGGGUGACCGGCCGCAAUGGGACUGAGACACGGCCCAUACCCCUACGGGGGGCAGCAGUGGGGAAUAUUGGACAAUGGGGGGAACCCUGAUCCAGCAACUCCGCGUGAAGGACGAAGCCUUAAGGGGUGUAAACUUCUUUUCUGGUGAAAGACGAAUGACGGUACACCAGGAAUAAGAGACGGCUAACUACGUGCCAGCAGCCGCGGUAAUACGUAGGUCUCGAGCAUUAUCCGGAAUCACUGGGCGUAAAGAGUCUGUAGCCUGCAUAAUAAGUCUGCUUUUAAAAACCGGGGCUCAACUUCGGAGAGGGGGCAGAUACUGUUAAGCUAGAGAUAGGUGGAGGUUAGUAGAAUUUCCGGUGGAGGGGUGGAAUCUGUUGAUAUCGGAAGGAAUGCCGAAAGCGAAAGCAGCUGGCUAUGCCUUAUCUGACGGUAAAGGACGAAAGUUUGGGUAGCAAACAGGAUUAGAUACCCUGGUAGUCCAAACUGUAAACUAUGCUCGCUAGGUGUCUCUGAGUAAUUGGGGGUGCUGAAACCAAACGGGUUAAGCGAGCCGCCUGAGUAGUAUAGUCGCAAGACCGAAACUCAAAGGGAUAGGCGGGGGAACACACAAGCGGUGGAUUGUCUCGAUUAAUUGGAUAAUAAGCCAAGAAUCUUACCUGAUCUUGACAUGCAGUGUGUCGUAUGAUAGGUCAUACUAGAUAUAGCAAUAUAUCGCGCUGUGCAGGUGCUGCAUGGCCGUCGUCAGCUCGUGCCGCAAGGUGUCCGGUUAAGUCCGGGAACGAGCGCAACCCUUACACUUAGUUAGGAUGUCUAGGUGGACUGCCUCGGCAACGAGGAGGAAGGAGGGGAUGAUGUCAGGUCAUUAUGGCCCUUAUGAUCAGGGCGUCAGAGGCAAUACAAUGGGUGGUACAGAACGAAGCGAUACCGAGAGGAGGAGCGAAACGCGAAAGCCAUCCCAAGUGCGGAUUGUGGUCUGGAACUCGACCACAUGAAGUUGGAAUCGCUAGUAAUGGCGGAUCAGCCAAGCCGCCGUGAAUAGGU